rnacentral:rRNA from 1 species
AUUGAUGGGUUCCACACCCCUUUCAGUCUUUAAGAGAAUCAGUCUAUCGGGAGUAGUGCAGACUGGACUUAGAUGACGAGGCACACAGGAGUGGAGCUGCGCUAUUGACUCACACGGGAAACUACAGGUCAGACAUAGUAAGGAUGACAGAUUGAUAGCUCUUUCUGAUCUAUGGGUGGUGGUGCAUGGCCCGUUCUUAGUUGGUGGAGUGAUUUGUCUGGUUAAUUCCGAUAACGAACGAGACCUUUAACCUGCUAACUAGUCUAUUACAUUUCAUGUAAUUUGACUUCUUAGAGGGACUAUGUAUAUCAAGUACAUGGAAGUUUGAGGCAAUAACAGGUCUGUGAUGCCCUUAUAUGUCCUGGGCUGCACGCGUGCUACACUGAUGCAUACAACAAGUGCCUAGCUAGACAUAGUAUGGCUUUCGGGAAUAUGCAUCGUGAUGGGGAUAGAUCUUUGCAAUUAUAGAUCUUGAACGAGGAAUUCCUAGUAAGUGCAAGUCAUCAUCUUGCAUUGAUUAUGUCCCUGCCCUUUGUACACACCGCCCGUCGCUCCUACCGAUACCGGGUGAUCCGGUGAACCUUUUGGACCUCGCAAGAGGAAAAAUAAGUAAACCAUAUCACCUAGAGGAAGGAGAAGUCGUAACAAGGUUUCCGUAGGGAACCUGCAGAAAUGCAUAAUCUAGAGCAUCGCGAGAAUAGAGCUCGAAUCACGGCCGCGUACC